AGAGUUUGAUCAUGGCUCAGGACGAACGCUGGCGGCGUGCCUAACACAUGCAAGUCGAGCGGGGUUACUGGGGUUCAGCUUGCUGAACGCCACUGACCCAGCGGCGGACGGGUGAGUAACGCGUGAGCAAUCUGCCUCAUACAGGGGGAUAACAGGCGGAAACGCCUGCUAAUACCGCAUAAGACCACGCCACCGCAUGGUGGAGCGGUCAAAGGGUGCACAGACGAGAGGCUGUGCAUACCGGUAUGAGAUGAGCUCGCGUCCCAUUAGCUUGUUGGUGAGGUAACGGCUCACCAAGGCGACGAUGGGUAGCCGACCUGAGAGGGUGAUCGGCCACACUGGGACUGAGACACGGCCCAGACUCCUACGGGAGGCAGCAGUGGGGAAUAUUGCGCAAUGGGGGGAACCCUGACGCAGCAACGCCGCGUGAGCGAAGAAGGCCUUCGGGUCGUAAAGCUCUGUCAUAGGGGAAGAGGAGAAGACGGUACCCUAUGAGGAAGCCCCGGCUAACUACGUGCCAGCAGCCGCGGUAAU
rnacentral:rRNA from 1 species